CACGACCGGCCGCUACCUGUCCCCUCCUCGCGAUCUCGUCUCCCCUCCUCGCGAUCUCCUCUCCGCUCUCUCCUCACCCGUCCUUGUUAUUGCCUGCCCCAAACCCUAGCUAGGCGGCGGCUGCCCGAGCCCGAGCCCGAGGCGGCGGCGGCCCGCGCCCGAGGUGUCAGCGGCGGCGCUUGCGCGGAGGGGGCGGCCGCGCCCGAGGCCGGGCCUCGCGCCUGAGGCAUCAGCGGCUGCGGCCCGCGCUCGAGGCGUCCGCGGCGACGCUUGCGCGGAGGUGGUGGCCGGCGCCCGAUCGGCUACAGACUCCAGAGCUGGCCAAGCGAGCUCGAUCUACACACUCGAUCGCCGAGCGCUUUUGAUGUUUCUGGCCAGAGCUCUGACUAGGAAAGAAAAUAUUUUAAGCGGUACUUCCUGAAUCCUGCGGUGGUGAAAAGAUCCUACAUAGAAAACUAGCUUCAUUCCUAUUUUCAAUUUGUCUGGAGCUCAUUUCGAUGGAGAUGCUGAUGUAAGAGUUGCUGCUAGUACUACUUGUAUGCAGUUUUGUAUGCACUUAUUGCUGAUGUAAGAGGCUUGACUCUAGUGUUACUGACCUGUAGUCUAGUUGCCGGUCAUGUACAAUAGCUGUUUGGUUAUAACUAUGUUGCUUUAGGUAGCUAUAGCCCUGACUGUAAUGUGCAGAAUAUUUUUUGCUGUUUGUUCCUUCCAUUUAUCCAUGUAAACCAGUGUAUUCUUCUGAGUUCUCUUGUAUGCAUUUCAUGUCUACCUGGCUAUAGAUUUCAUCA